rnacentral:rRNA from 1 species
CCUACGGGGUGCAGCAGUGGGGAAUAUUGGGCAAUGGGCGCAAGCCUGACCCAGCAACGCCGCGUGAAGGAAGAAGGCUUUCGGGUUGUAAACUUCUUUUAAGGGGGAAGAGCAGAAGACGGUACCCCUUGAAUAAGCCACGGCUAACUACGUGCCAGCAGCCGCGGUAAUACGUAGGUGGCAAGCGUUGUCCGGAUUUACUGGGUGUAAAGGGCGUGCAGCCGGUGAGACAAGUCAGAUGUGAAAUCCACGGGCUCAACCCGUGAACUGCAUUUGAAACUGUUUCCCUUGAGUGUCGGAGAGGUAAUCGGAAUUCCUUGUGUAGCGGUGAAAUGCGUAGAUAUAAGGAAGAACACCAGUGGCGAAGGCGGAUUACUGGACGAUAACUGACGGUGAGGCGCGAAAGCGUGGGGAGCAAACAGGAUUAGAUACCCCAGUAGUC